rnacentral:rRNA from 1 species
UGCCUUACACAUGCAAGUCGAACGGUAACAGGUCAAGCUGACGAGUGGCGAACGGGUGAGUAAUAUAUCGGAACGUGCCCAGUCGUGGGGGAUAACGUAGCGAAAGUUACGCUAAUACCGCAUACGAUCUCUGGAUGAAAGCGGGGGACUCGCAAGGGCCUCGCGCGAUUGGAGCGGCCGAUAUCAGAUUAGGUAGUUGGUGGGGUAAAAGCCCACCAAGCCGACGAUCUGUAGCUGGUCUGAGAGGACGACCAGCCACACUGGGACUGAGACACGGCCCAGACUCCUACGGGAGGCAGCAGUGGGGAAUUUUGGACAAUGGGCGAAAGCCUGAUCCAGCCAUGCCGCGUGCAGGACGAAGGCCUUCGGGUUGUAAACUGC